AAGAACGCAGCUGGAGCAGUUUUCUCCAAGGGUGAAAAAUGGCUGAACAAAGUUGACAAGGAGUGCUACCAAUGCGAGUGUAAAGAGAAGGGACGAGCUACGUGUAAACUUAAACGUAAAUGUCGCAGGUCAUGUAAAUCUGAUGAGACAAGGGACCCAGGCUCUUGCUGUGGUUGCGUAAAACCACUGCCUCCUACCAGACCACCUAUACGAAGAUUUAAAACUAGAGAGGAGUUUCAGAACUAUUUGAAGUCACUCGGUAUAAAGCCAUAAAUGGAUUAGGUUGCCUCGUUCAAACCAAGACAUCUUUAACUUCAGGUUCAAUAAACGGGAAUUAUAAUGAAAAGAAAGGAAUUUGAUUCAGACAAAAUGGUGUGAAAUAUUAUAAUUGAUUCCUUGAUUUGACAAAUAAAGGACGUUAACUGUGAAA